rnacentral:ncRNA from 1 species
GUAUUGUAUGAGAGGGGAGAAAAGAUUAGCACUCCCUUGACAAGAAUGGAAGAGGCCCUUGGGCCUGACAACACCCACAUGGUUAAGGCAUUGCCACCUACUUUAUGACACCUAACCACUGCUUUUG